rnacentral:rRNA from 1 species
AACGAACGCUGGCGGCAGGCCUAACACAUGCAAGUCGAACGCUCGUAGCAAUACGAGAGUGGCAGACGGGUGAGUAACACGUGGGAACCUUCCCUAUGGUUCGGAAUAGCUCAGGGAAACUUGGGGUAAUACCGGAUAAGCCCUUCGGGGAAAGAUUUAUCGCCAUUGGAUGGGCCCGCGUCGGAUUAGCUAGUUGGUGAGGUAACGGCUCACCAAGGCAACGAUCCGUAGCUGGUCUGAGAGGAUGAUCAGCCACACUGGGACUGAGACACGGCCCAGACUCCUACGGGAGGCAGCAGUGGGGAAUAUUGGACAAUGGGCGCAAGCCUGAUCCAGCCAUGCCGCGUGAGUGACGAAGGUCUUCGAUUGUAAAACUCUUUUGGCGGGACGAUAAUGACGGUACCCGCAGAAUAAGCCCCGGCUAACUUCGUGCCAGCCGCCGCCGUAAG